AAAAACACAUGAGGUUUUUUCAGCACUUCAUAUGCAUCACCUCCACACUUCCCAGAGCUACAAAUCUAAACUCAUGGUCUAUCUUGGCCCUGGUAUUUUGAUUCCAUUCUGACCACCAGGGAUCUGAAUGCUGCUCAGCUCCAUGCAAGUUUGCGCAGUCCUCCUUGAUAUAUCAAUCCCCCUUCAAAUCACAGUGUCCCUUUCACAGUCACGUUCUAAAGGUAUGAGGUGUCAUUUUUGUACGAAUUUUUAAAUUGAACUUUUAGGUGUAUUACAUGAAAAUGCCUAUGUGUAAAUAGGGUACAUGAUGAUAAUGGAGUUAGUGCUGUGUCCUGUUUCUUCCCAGAUCAUGCACUUACCCUGAGGAGGAGCAAUGGUCCUGCCAGAAGCCGAUGCUGGAGGGUCUUGAAUGCAGCUUUCUGUUAAAGACGGAAGAAAGAGUGAAGAGUCAAGCUCUAUGAUUUUGACCCCUGCUGCUGAAUCCAGGGACAUCCUCUGCCAGAAGGACAUCUCUUAGCUCCGCCUCCCACUCUCGCAACUUGAUAGGCUUUCCUCUGUUUUGUCCUAGUCGAAGCCUCUGCAUCUUCUUUGUAACCGUUGCCCGACAAUCAUAGAACCUGCAAAUGUACAUAAACAUUACAAUUACAUUAAUAAAAAAACAAAUACUUAGAU